rnacentral:rRNA from 1 species
AUCCUGGCUCAGAUUAAACGCUUUUUAUAUGCUUAAUACAUGCAAGUUAAACAAAAAAAUACCUUUUUUUUUAGUGGCGUAAGGGUGAGUAAUACAUAGAUAAUCUGCCUUAUAGUGUGGUUUAACACCAUAAAAAUUUUAUUGCUAUAAGAUGAGUUUAUGCAGGAUUAGGUAGUUGGUAGGGUAAAUGCUUACCAAGCCGAAGAUCCUUAAUUGAUCUGAGAGGAUGUUCAAUCACAUUAAAACUGAGACAAGGUUUAAACUUUUUUUAAAGGCAGCAGUAAGGAAUUUUAGGCAAUGGACUCACGUCUGACCUAGCAAUAUAUAGUGAACGAUGAAGGUUGUUUAACUGUAAAGUUCUUUUAUUAGUGAAGAUUGUGACUGUAACUAAUGAAUAAGGUCUGGCUAACUUCGUGCCAGCAGCCGCGGUGAUACGAAGAGACCUAGUGUUAAUCGGAAUAAUUGGGCGUAAAAUGUAUGUAGACUGUAAUUGUUUGUUAAAAACGAAAAUCUAAAAGUUCUUUAGACUACUUUUAACUACAGAUUUCUUGAGUAAAAAAAAAGAUUAUAAAAUUUCGAAAGAAGAAAUAAAAUUUGUAGAUUUUCGAAGGAAUACCAAAAGCGAAAGCAAUAAUCUUGCUUUAUACUGACGUUGAUAUACGAAAGCAUAGGUAGCAAAGAGGAUUAGAUACCCUCGUAGUCUAUUGCUAUAAACCAUGAAUACUCGUUUUUGGAGAUUUUCUUCAGAAACUUAGCUAACGCGUUAAGUAUUCUGCCUGAGGAGUACGUCGGCAACGUUAAAACUCAAAGGAAUUGACGGGGAUUCGCACAAUUGAUGGAACAUGUGGUUUAAUUCGUCAGUACACGCAAAACCUUACCAAUUUUUGUAUAAUUUAAAAAAUUUUUUAAUAAAAUAAUAUAUUUAAGUUACAGGUGUUGCAUGGUUGUCGUAAGCUCGUGUUUUGAGAUGUUAGGUUAACUCCAGUAACGAGCGAAACCCUUUAUUUUUAUUGCAAAUUUAUUUUUUCUUUCUUUUUUUUCUUUAGAUAGCUAAAUGCACAUAAAAAAAAUUGCUUAUGAUAUAUAAGAUUAAAGAAAGGACCACGACAAAUCUUCAUGACCCUUAUAAAUUGGGCUACUUCAUGUGUUACAGUGAUAAUUAUACAAAAAGUUGCAAUAAUGUUAAUUGAAGCUAAUCUUUAAAAAUUAUCGAAGUUCUGAUUGUUUUCUGAAAUUUGAAAACAUGAAGAUGGAACCAAUAGUAAUCGUUAAUCAGCAUGUAACGGUGAAUAUGUUCUCGAAUUUUGUACAUACCGCCCGUCACAGCCUGGAAAUUAUGUUUAUUCUAAUAUU